rnacentral:rRNA from 1 species
GCAAGUCGAGCGGACAGAUGGGAGCUUGCUCCCUGAUGUUAGCGGCGGACGGGUGAGUAACACGUGGGUAACCUGCCUGUAAGACUGGGAUAACUCCGGGAAACCGGGGCUAAUACCGGAUGGUUGUUUGAACCGCAUGGUUCAAACAUAAAAGGUGGCUUCGGCUACCACUUACAGAUGGACCCGCGGCGCAUUAGCUAGUUGGUGAGGUAACGGCUCACCAAGGCAACGAUGCGUAGCCGACCUGAGAGGGUGAUCGGCCACACUGGGACUGAGACACGGCCCAGACUCCUACGGGAGGCAGCAGUAGGGAAUCUUCCGCAAUGGACGAAAGUCUGACGGAGCAACGCCGCGUGAGUGAUGAAGGUUUUCGGAUCGUAAAGCUCUGUUGUUAGGGAAGAACAAGUACCGUUCGAAUAGGGCGGUACCUUGACGGUACCUAACCAGAAAGCCACGGCUAACUACGUGCCAGCAGCCGCGGUAAUACGUAGGUGGCAAGCGUUGUCCGGAAUUAUUGGGCGUAAAGGGCUCGCAGGCGGUUUCUUAAGUCUGAUGUGAAAGCCCCCGGCUCAACCGGGGAGGGUCAUUGGAAACUGGGGAACUUGAGUGCAGAAGAGGAGAGUGGAAUUCCACGUGUAGCGGUGAAAUGCGUAGAGAUGUGGAGGAACACCAGUGGCGAAGGCGACUCUCUGGUCUGUAACUGACGCUGAGGAGCGAAAGCGUGGGGAGCGAACAGGAUUAGAUACCCUGGUAGUCCACGCCGUAAACGAUGAGUGCUAAGUGUUAGGGGGUUUCCGCCCCUUAGUGCUGCAGCUAA